rnacentral:rRNA from 1 species
AGCUUGCUUGGUGGAUCAGUGGCGAACGGGUGAGUAACACGUGAGCAACCUGCCCUGGACUCUGGGAUAAGCGCUGGAAACGGCGUCUAAUACUGGAUAUGAGACGUGAUCGCAUGGUCGUGUUUGGAAAGAUUUUUCGGUCUGGGAUGGGCUCGCGGCCUAUCAGCUUGUUGGUGAGGUAAUGGCUCACCAAGGCGUCGACGGGUAGCCGGCCUGAGAGGGUGACCGGCCACACUGGGACUGAGACACGGCCCAGACUCCUACGGGAGGCAGCAGUGGGGAAUAUUGCACAAUGGGCGAAAGCCUGAUGCAGCAACGCCGCGUGAGGGAUGACGGCCUUCGGGUUGUAAACCUCUUUUAGCAGGGAAGAAGCGAAAGUGACGGUACCUG